rfam:Glycine soja cultivar W05 scaffold5763_4, whole genome shotgun sequence.
AAAACGGUUUUAUUUAAAACCAAAUAGAGUUUUAGAAAAAUAAUG